CUGAAGCGUUCUUUCCCGAGUGGACGCGGCCAGGGCGUGGGUCUCUGAGAACGAGGUUUGCAGUCCGGAAAAGUAAAGACACGUACAAGUUAUGGAGACAAACGUGUCCUUACUAAGCUCUUCUAGAAUGGACGGAUACCGCCCUCCCCACACACCUCACAUCUCCAUAGCCACCCUCUCACAUGGUAGGUGCCUCACACACCGAGCGCGCUUAUUGGAUGAACGAUGGCAUGGUUGGAGGCUGAGGGAGUAUCGCGAAAUACGUCAGUGCCUCACGUUCAAAGAAUUCACACGCCACUCGUUUGUGGGAACCUUCUGGGUAUUCUCUUCGGCUCUCUCCCAUUUUGCCUAGUAAUUUAUUAGUCCCAUAAAACAUUAACAAAAUAAUUUUUGAGCCUGGAUCGUUAGCACACCACUCAGCACUGGGACGGCUGAGGCAGGAGAAUGGCAAGUUCUAGACCGGCAUGACUACUACGUAGGAACACCUUGGCUCGAUGAUGUUAAUUUUUAGUAAAAACAUUGGCAUUGAUCUGAGUAAGUUCUCUCAAACAAAAUGUUUAGGAAAAUGAUUGUUUUUCUUUCUGGAGAGUAGGGUUGUGGCUUCAAAAGAACACCUUAAGCAAGCCAAGCAGAGGUCACUGAAGAAUUUCACACACAGGACAUGGUUUAACGAGUCUGUUUAAAAGGAAUACUGAAGAGCAACAGACGGCGUCAACACCCUUAUAAAUGUAAGAAAGAGGGAGACAAAGGACCACACUGACUGAAUCCUAGUUACUGCCUCCAGGAUCCUGCUUUGAAUUCCUGCCCUGGCUCCUCUUAGAGAUGUAAGCUGGAAUGCCUGCCUCCAAGUUGCUUUGGUUAGUGUGCAAUCACAGCAAUAGAAAGCAAACUAGAACAACUCCCUCCCUCCCUCCAUCCUUCCCUCAAACUUGACUCCCUUCUGCAUCAUCGUGUUUAUUUAUUACAAUCAGAACUAAGUUUGAGCAAGGCAGCUGGAAAAAGAAAGUGCUCUGUCAGAGAGACUUAGGGCCAAUGUGCUGUCUACUUUUAUGUCAGCUUGACACAAGCUAGAGUCAUCUGAAAGGAGCGAACCUCAAUUGAGUAAAAUUGAACCUCCAAAAGAUCCAGCUAUAAGGCAUUUUCUUAAUUUGUGAUUGAUGGGGGAGAGCCUAGCUCAUGGGGGCAGUGCCAUCCCUGGCAUGGUGGUCCUGGGUUCUAUAAGAAAGCAGGUUGAAGGCCGGACAUUGGUGGCGCACACCUUUAAUCACGCCUUUAAUCCCAGCACUCGGGAGGCAGGGACAGGCAGAUCUCUGUGAGUUUGAGGCCAGCCUGGUCUCCAUAUUGAGUGCCAGGAUAGGCUCCAAAGCUACACAGAGAAACCCUGUCUCAAAAAACAAAAACAAAAAACAAAAACAAAAAAAGAAAGAAAGAAAGCAGGUUGAAGCCAGGUGUAAUGGUGCAUGUCUUUAACCCAGCACUCAGGAGGUAGAGGCAGAUGGAUCUCAGUGAGUUCGAGUUCAACCUGAUCCACAGACCUAGUUCCAGGACAGCCAUGGCUACACAGAGAAACCCUGUUUCAAAAACAAACAAAAAGAAAGCAGGCUGAAUAAGCCCUACUCAGCAAUCCUGUAAGCAGCACUCCUCCAUGGCCUCUUCAUCAGCCCUGCCCUGUUGGGGGUUCCUGCCCUGGCUUCCUUCAGUGAUGCACUUAGAUGUGGAAAUGUAAGCCAAAUAAAUCCUUUCCUCC
rnacentral:lncRNA from 1 species